rnacentral:lncRNA from 1 species
UGAUGCUGACACUGUUGCUCUUUGGGGUUUCUGAAUGCGGUGGUGAUUUUAGGGCAAGAGUAUCUUGAAUAUUUUGAAUGCAAAACAGUAUUUGUUGAGAAGCUGGUCAUCAUAAUCCUUUUUCCCACCUGGUUAUGAAUAUUGGAUCCCAUUUCAGGGCGAGGAACCCUGAUCCACAGCAGGCCAUGCACACAUGCUCUGGGCACAGCCUGGACUUGAGCAGAUCCUAUGUUGGAGGCCACCUGGGCCCCUUGACGAGUCAACUGUGCACCCAUUCCCAGAGGUAAAGGUGUGCAGUGCUCUAGUGGCUUUCACUAGGAAGUUCAAUGGACGAUUUUUGACAGAAAUGGUUUGUAUCCCUUUAUGCCUGUUCAAAGCCAUUGUUCGGGGUUUCACAUUGGCACUGAAGCUUGGCAUUGCAUUUGAGUCUGAAUGUCCUGGGGAGGAAGCCUCGGGACCCCUCUGUGUUUAUGGCGGAAUUCAUACACAGCUGCCAGUGACAGGUGACCCUUCCCCUGGCCAAGUGGCUAUUCUUAAGUGUUUCUGAUUCAUGGUAGUCACCAGUUAUCAGGGUUCCCGGGGUGUCUUCUGUUAUCAGAGAGCGGCGUGUACUUCAGUACAACUGUUUUUGUUUUUGUUUCCCCAAUCCUGUGCACUUCAUUAUAUUCACAUUUCAGAAACCUUCUUGACAAGGGGCGCAUUAAGCCUCACCAUUCCUGUGGAUGCUGUAAUGAAUUGCUAAAAGGUUUCUGUUGAGAAGUGUGUUUUUUCACAGCUCUGGAGGCAGAAGCCUGAAGUCAAGGUGUUGGCCGGCUGUGAAGGGGAAUGCACUCUGUGCUUUCUGUGCUUGCUUUCUGGUGGCCACUGGCUGCCCUGGUGGUCUUUGUCUUGUGGCUGCCUCACUCCCAUCUCUGGUUCCCUCUGCAUGUGGCCGAGUCCUCUCUUUUUAUAAGGACACCCUAAAUCCAGGAUGACCUCACCUCAAGAUCCUUAACUUAAUUUUAUUUGCAAAGGCCGCUUUUCCAGUAAGGUCACAUUCCCAGGCCCUGGGGCUUAGCACGUGGCCAUCUAUCUGGAGCGAUCACCAUUGAACUCACCAGGGAGCCCCCGGCACAAAGAAAGGCUAAGAGGUACCCCCACCUUCCUAAAGGAUUCCAAAUUUUUCUUGACAAAAUUUCAGUUUCCUGGUUUUUGCUGCCGUAGCUUGUCUGCAUUUUUGUCUUGCGAUUUGAAAAUAACAAUUUAUUCCGCUUACCACCUCCUUCCACC